UACGUAGGGUGCAAGCGUUGUCCGGAAUUAAUGGGCGUAAAGAGCUCGUAGGCGGUUUGUUGCGUCGGCUGUGAAAACCUGAGGCUCAACCUCAGGCCUGCAGUCGAUACGAGCAGACUAGAGUGUUGCAGGGGAGACUGGAAUUCCUGGUGUAGCGGUGAAAUGCGCAGAUAUCAGGAGGAACACCGGUGGCGAAGGCGGGUCUCUGGGCAGUAACUGACGCUGAGGAGCGAAAGCGUGGGGAGCGAACAGG
rnacentral:rRNA from 1 species